AUUAAGAUAAAUGCUAAAAUCUUAAUGAGUAGGAGGGCGUAUGGAUAAUUUAGAAGAUUGACAGUGAUGUUGAUUGGAAUUAUCUUUAGUGCAGAUCUUGGUGGUAGUAGCAAAUAUUCAAUAGAGAACAUUGAAGACUGAAGUGGAGAAAAGGUUUCACAUGAACAACACUUGGAUGUGAGUUAGUCGAUCCUAAACGGUGGGUUAACUCCGAAUACAUAGAUACUUGUAUCUUGUACCGUGAAAGGGAAACAGGUUAAUAUUCCUGUACUAUAUCAAGGAGGUAAAGUGGCAACACAAAUGAACUCAAAUACAUCAGUAGAAUAACCAGGAAGAGUUCUCUUUUCUUUUUAACGACUUUCUCCGCAAGGGGUGUAUAAUGACCAUGGAAUCAAUUUAGUUGGAGAAAUGGUUAAAGAGUCGGUAGAGUAAAUCAAUUUCUG
rnacentral:rRNA from 1 species